rnacentral:antisense_RNA from 1 species
CUUGACGGAGCCCAGCCACAGCGGCUGCCCGUCCCGCCGCUGCCCGCCGUAGGUGGCGAGCAGGGCCUGCGCCUC